AUUGCCUAUGUAGUGAAAUUUCCUUUUUGCCCAAGUCGUCAUGGGCAAAAAAAAGUCGUGGAAACACAGAGGAGGAGGUAAGACGUAUGACCCGAGAAUGGAAGAAGCGAAAAAGGCGAGAAAGACGACUACAUAAAGAAAAGGUACUUGUGUCGGCGUUACAGAUCGAAAAGGAUCGCUUCGAAAGACAGCAGAAGAUCUGCGGUUACAUGUCGCAGAAAUAUUACAAUCGAUUGAACUCGCUCCUCAGACGCGAAGAAGCUGCAAGGAAGAAAUCAAUUGUUGAGGAACCCAAAACGCAGAGAAAGGUAGAGUCAACAUUUUUGGAUUGAUUGUAAACUGAUUUACCUCGUGAUAAGGUCUUAACUAAUUAAGAACACAUCAGUUUGGUUUAGCAAUUGACUGUGGCCUAUCAGAGCAACCUAAGGCUGAAUCUGGAAAAUUAAAGAGCACAAGAUCAGCCAUGCCUGGUGUCCUCUUUACCGAAGAGCAAAAGUCUUCAUUGGGAAUAUAGAUAACAUAAAUCAUAAUUCAGAGAGAAGUAAUAUUAUUGAACCUAGUGUUAAUCCAACAACCAGAAACAUGCCGGUAGGCCAUAACCCUAUUUGAAUUUUUAGGGUCAAACAGUUAAUUUACAAGGCUGUAGCCAGAAUGAAGCAAGCUCCUGCUUGCAAGCUUGUCAUUUUGAUUUUUUUUUUUCAAGAAUGGUCUGUCUUGACAUAUUCAUUGUUCAAGGAAGGACCUAGUGUACUUGUAGAACCUAGUAUACCAGUGAGACCAUUGUCCCUCUUGUCCCCUGAUAUUGUGUCUAAAUAUAUUUUUGGCUACUGGGCUGGUUUAUUUCAAUGUUGAAAUAAUUGACAGAGGUUAUUAUGCAUCAGAUUCCUGAUUGUGUAUCAUUCCUGUUACAUCAAUAGUGUGCACAGGAGCAUGUGCAGAGACAACUUUAUUUUUGCUCAGCAUUGAACUUAAUAUAGCACUGAAGGUGUCCUUGAUGAUACAUCUUACCAAUCAAUGCUUAUCUGUUGUUCAAAGAAAGUAAUGUUUCAUUUGUGGCUUUCCUGAAAUAAUUUUUUAGUUUCUAGUAUGGUACACCAGAAUAGUUUCCAUGCAAACUGUUUCUCUGGAGUAAGUUUGACUUUUAAGGUUGUUUGAGAUAGAAGUAAAACAUUGAAAUUACCAGUCCAUCAGAGUAUACCCAUUGAAGCACUAAAAGCUUUCUCAACGGCACAUCGAAGGUUGGCAGCUGGCAAAAUGGCACAUCUUGCCAGUCAGUGCUUCUCUGGUGUUCAAGAGUGAGUAAUGUUUUAUUUGUGGCUUUCCAGAAAUUGAAAUUUCUAGUAUGGGAAACCAGAAUCGUUUGCAUACCAACUUUUUCACUGGAAUAAGUUUAACUUUUAAGGUUAAUUGAGAUAGAUAAACCUUGUAAUUACUAGUUAAUAGGGGCAUAUACCCAUGGAAGCACAUUGCAUUGCAGUGUUGAGGGGAC